AGGAAUAUAAAAUAGAGGCAUAGAUAGGGUAAACAGUCAGAACUAUUUUCCCAGGGUGGAAAUGUCAAAGACUACUGAGUAUAGCUUUAAGGCGAGGGGCAAGUUUGUUUUUUACCAUAGAAUGUGGUGGGUGUCCCGAGUGCACUGCCAGGGGUGGUGAUGGUAGAGGAGGCAGAUACGAUAGUGACAUUUAAGAGGCUUUUAGGUAGGCACAUGGAUAUGCAGGGAAUGGAGGGAUAUGGAUCAUGGGGAGGCAGCGGAGAUUAUUUUAGCUUGGCAUCAUGUUCGGCUUGGACAUUAUGGGCCAAAGGGCCCGUUCCUGUGCUGUUCUAUGUAAGCCAGCCAAUACACGUUGCCUCUCCUAGGCAGAGCACCAGCGGCUUGCAUUGCCCAUAGAACCUCAAAUCUGCAUGAAUCAGCAACCUAUAGAAAAAUAAGAAAAGGCAAAGAAACUGCUGGCUAAAUAUUAGGGGCAGGCACAGGACAGAGCACAUCAAUUCAGCUCAAGAAGCGGUGCCUGCCAAUUCGCUAUUGGAAAGUUUUCUGCUUUGCUGUUGUUGGUAUGCUCAAGCUGCAGAAAAAUAAAUAAAUCUGCUCACUGCAGGCUCCAGACGGUCUACUGGAGUUUCCUGAAGUGAAGCGAGACAGAGAGGAAGUACCAUAAGAUCCAGUGUACACUCGCAACUUCAUGCUUAAAUCUACAAGCACAGCAUUAGCCACACUUUGCUGCCAGGAUUCUGAUUUUGGGUUUUCCAAGAUUGGAGAAGGACAAGGAAGACAAAAGCAUACAAGGAAAAAAAAGCUUUAUGAAGAUCAGGAUCUGCAGAUGAAGACCUGCCAAUAAAGGAAAAACAAGGAAAGAACAAAAGAAACAUGAAACAAACAAAAUCACUGACAACAACAAGAGUCAACGAUCAAAUGUUAACUAUGCACCGUAGGGACAAAUCACAGAAAGUUGACUGCAAGCAAUGGCAAAUCCAAAUGUUCUUGUUUGUGAAAGGUUUGUUUGGAAAGCGGAGGGAUGAAACAGGAGGGAUAAAAAGACAAAUAUGAAAUCCAAAAGCUUUUAACAGGCAAUUGGAAACCUAGAGCAGAGCAUAUGUAUCAAUUACUUAGACCCUGUUAUUAAUAGACGUGCAACAAAAAAAAUUGAGAAAGAAUUUACAAUUGUCAGGUGUGGCUCAGUGGUAGCAUUUUCACCUUGAAAUCAGAAAGGAUUGAUUUCAAGUCCCACUCUAUAGAUAUGACCAAAUGGGUCUAGGUUGGCACUCCAGCCAUGCCAAAGAGGUGCUACUGUUUCAUAGUGCAGUACUUUUUAUAUGACUUUAUACUGUUUAUAAUGGAUAUAAAUGAGGCAUGGCAAUGCAAGGCACAAAAAAAGAUACAAAGUGCUGGAGUAACUCAGCAGGUCAGUCGGCAUCUCUGGAGAACAUGAAUAGUUGACGUUUCAGGUUGGGACCCUUCUUCAGACGCAGACCCAACGUAAGGAAAAUUCAUUUAGUAAGUAUCACUCAGCCAACAGAAGUAAACAGGUCACUAUCAUGUUGCCAUUUGUGGGAGCCUGCUAUGCAUAUUUAAAGUCUUUCCCUAUAUUAAGGAAAGAACUUCAGAACUUUGUGUCUGAAGAAGGGUCUCGACUUGAAACAUCACCCAUUCCUUCUCUCCAGAGAUGCUCCCUGUCCCGCUGAGUUAUUUCAGCUUUGUGUGUCUAUCUUCAGAAUUUUGGGGUGGCAUAGUGGUAGAGUUGCUGCCUUACAGCGUGCUGGGAUGGAUCCUGAAUCUGGGUGCUGUCUGUAUGGAGUUUGUACAUUCUCCCUGUGACCGCAUUGGUUUUCUCUGGGUUCUCCGGUUUCAUCCCACACAUCAAAGACAUACAUGAUUGUAGAUUAAUUGGCUUCAGUAAUUGUAAAUUGGCCCGAGUGUGUAGAUAGUGCUAAUGUGCGGGGGUGAUUGCUGGUCAGCACCUGCUCGGUGGGCUGAUGGGCUUGGCUCCACACUGUAUCUCUAAAGUAAACUAUGUUGAUGACUGCAAUGCCUCUGGGACAUCCUGAGUACAUGAAUACAAAUCUUUAUCUUACAGGACUUAAUCUAAGAAAUCAUCAAAACAUGUUAAACCGAAGUAAGCAACACAUA